rnacentral:lncRNA from 1 species
AAAAAGCCUCUUCCACUCCAAACAUAACAGCGCUACCUCAGCAAGACUGAUUUCUGCAUUUCUUCUGAAGGUUGAUGACAUUAUUUUACAGUGAUAUUAUUCUAUUUUCCCACUUACAAGCAAUGUGUGAACAGCAAAGCUGACUUACACAGUUUACCAUCACCCUUCAUACAGCAAUUGGUCACUUGUGACUCAAUUUCAAAUGCAGAAGUGUCUCUGAAGUUUCUUGGUCAAACGGAGGUUCAAAGAGAAGUCUUCUGUCUAGGAAGUCCAGGUUUUUCUGCAGAUUAA